UCCCUGGUGACUCUGUGGUAAAGAACCUGCCUGCAAUGCAGGAGACCUGGGUUCGAUCCCUAGCUUGGGAA
rnacentral:tRNA from 1 species